AAAGGACAAGGUGGACGUGUGUGCUUCUGAGUACAUCUUGGCCUAACAAGAAUAAUUUUAAAUCUUGAAAGCUCAUGAGAUAUUCGAAUUAAUGGUUCCAAUAAAAUGUUUAAAAGAAUAAAAGAAAAUAUUAGAGAAUGCAAAACUAAUAAUAAGAACAUGUAAGAAGAGAUAUGAAGAUGAUCAGAAAAAAUAGGUGAUAGAAUUAAGAGAUGUAAAAGGCACAAGAAAAUUAAAGGCAAAGUAUGAAAAAUAUUAAAAAAAGAAUAAGGCAUUAAAUAAAAAAGUUAAAAGCUAUAAAAGACUAAGGAGAUGGAAGAAAUGAUGCACUACAAGAGAAACCUUCAUCUUCCAAUAUAAGCGUCAUAAGAAGAAUUGUCACUUGACUAUUAGAAACCAAUAUAAGAUUUCAAAGAAACUUUAUCCCUCUCAUAUAAACAAUUUUGAAGAAUUUUCUCUAAUUCUCAUAAACUCAAAUAUAAUGCAUAUAUAUAGCCACCUAAUGCAUAAUGCAUAUAUGUAGUCACUUAAUGCCUCACUUUGUCAAGAAUCUCAAAUAUGGUAAGAGGACAAGUAAAAUCUAAAAAGCAAAUCUUAAAUCAUAUCAAUAAGAUUGGUUUAUACUUCGUAUGCUUUAGUCAUAUU
rnacentral:lncRNA from 1 species